AUUGAACGCUGGCGGCAUGCCUUACACAUGCAAGUCGAACGGCAGCACGGGUGCUUGCACCUGGUGGCGAGUGGCGAACGGGUGAGUAAUACAUCGGAACGUACCUUAUCGUGGGGGAUAACGCAGCGAAAGCUGUGCUAAUACCGCAUACGCCCUGAGGGGGAAAGCGGGGGAUCGAAAGACCUCGCGCGAUUAGAGCGGCCGAUGCCUGAUUAGCUUGUUGGUGGGGUAAAAGCCCACCAAGGCGACGAUCAGUAGCUGGUCUGAGAGGACGAUGAGCCCCACUGGGACUGAGACACGGCCCUGACUCCGACGGGAAGCAGCAGUGGGGAAUUUUGGACAAUGGGGGCAACGCUGAUCCAGCAAUGCCGCGUGAGUGAAGAAGGCCUUCGGGUUGUAAAGCUCUUUUGUCAGGGAAGAAACACCGGCUCUAACACAGUCCGGGAAUGACGAUACCUGAAGAAUAAGCACCGGCUAACUACGUGCCAGCAGCCGCAGUAA
rnacentral:rRNA from 1 species